GACUUGAGAAACUGUUUGUACAGAUCCCUUCCCAAAAGAGUUUGUUCCUAUAAUCAUUGCUCUCUUAUGAUCCUGUAGAGCUCCUGCGACAAUCUCAGAGGCCGAAGCUGAAGAACCAUUGAUAAGUACAGCAAUAGGUAAGUCUAGCUCCUUAUGACCGCUCUUUUUAACAUAUCUAAUUUCUUUAUUCUUAGGAUCUCGACCUUCAGUAGAAACCACGAUCCCUUCUUUAAGAAAUAUAGAAGAAACAUUAACUGCUUCAUCUAGUAAUCCACCUGGAUUA
rnacentral:ncRNA from 1 species